AAGUGAGCGUGAGAUCCGGAAGAAGGAAAAGAAAGGAAAGAGAGGAGAAAAGAAAGAGAGAAGAGAAAAGAGAAGAAAAGAUAGGAACAAAAAAAAAAAAAAAUGAAUGAGAACUCUCCAAGGAAUUGUGAGUUGGAUGCGGAUUCAAAAUAAGGGCAUGCAAUGCCAGGUAAGGGACCACAACACCAAAAACCCCAACAAAUUUUAUUAUAAAUAUUUUAGAAAAAUAUUGGGGAUUUUAUAAAGAAUCAAUUUACAUGAUUUUUAAUUGCACUUCCUUUCAUAUUUUAAUGACGAGUUUUAUUUAUUUAUAUGUCAUUGUUUAAGAAUUUUACGUGAUACAGUUACCAUAUUUCAUGAUUUUAUGCAUAACUGCAAUUAUGAAUGAAAAGAGCUUUCAAAGUUCAUGGCACAGAUGAGUUUACAGAUCAUAUGAAAUGUUAUAUGUGCAUUCAUGACACAGUAUACAGUUACAGAUGAGUUUACAAAUCAUAUGAAAUGUCAUAUGUGCAUUCAUGGCACAAUAUACAGUUACAGAUGAGUUUACAGAUCAUAUGAAAUAUUAUAUGUGCAUUCAUGGUUAUAAAUGUUUAACCCGAGACACGAUUAUAGUGACGAUCGGUACCGCAUAGGGUAGCAUGGCAAGCACACCGAAGGACGGUUAGGAGAAGGUGUGUGCUACCGGCCAGGUGGCCUUCACCUAGGGAAGUUCCCAACCUGGUAGGUCUCCCCUGUGACAACAUGAUGAGCAUAUAGGUCCUUCGGGACAAGCCAACGUGCGUCGCUCACGGUAAAUUUGUGGUGUCGGGUCAAAGGGUAAAACAAUUAUUUUGAAAGGAAAGUAAAAGGAAAUGCUUACUCAUUUUGCAACUAUCUUGCUUAUUUUGUUAAUUAUGUUAUUCUACAUAAAUUGUUAUUGUGCAUAAUAGAGAUUUUGACAUAAAAAUUUGUAUAGCAUGUUUUAUAGCAUUUUGGUGUUAUGGCUACUUACUGAGUUGUCAAACUCACCCCUUCUCCCUAUACAUUUUUUUUUUCAGAUUGCUCUAUAUAUAUAUCGUGAUAUUGAAGACAUGGGUACCAGUGGACCUCUUAGUUGUUAAAGAUCCUAUCGCUGCUUUAUAGACUAGCAGGAGCAGUAGUAGUAGAAGUGUCUGGGACUCCAUUCUAUAGACUAGACAGCUUGGGUUAAGCAUAGACGGUGUAACUUUAUUGCUUAUGAGAUUAUUGAAUACUAGCAUAUUAUGUGUUUGUGAUUUUAUAAAUUAAAAAUUAUAGUACUCUGGUGACGUUAUGAUCUUAUAUUAGGAGAAUUAUUUUUA